UACGAAGGGGGCUAGCGUUGUUCGGAAUUACUGGGCGUAAAGCGCGCGCAGGCGGUCUUCCAAGUCAGUGGUGAAAGCCCGGAGCUCAACUCCGGAACUACCAUUGAAACUGUGAGACUUGAGGAUGAGAGAGGUGAGUGGAAUUCCCAGUGUAGAGGUGAAAUUCGUAGAUAUUGGGAAGAACACCGGUGGCGAAGGCGGCUCACUGGCUCAUUUCUGACGCUCAGGCGCGACAGCGUGGGGAUCAAACAGG
rnacentral:rRNA from 1 species